rnacentral:lncRNA from 1 species
UACUGUCUUCUACAUCAUACCAAACUUGAUUACUAUUCGUAACAUUAGAGAAUGUCGCUAUACUUUCUGCAUCCUCUGUUCUGCCUUUUAUCUUUCUCCCGUUGCCCUCUUUUCCGAAACUUCUUUCAGCAUCACCUCUUUUCUGAAAAUAAGGGGAUACCACUCUUGCUUCAGCACGUAGUCCAAGUACCACCUUUCUCUUCACCCCAACACUCUCUUUCUCAGCAUCGUCGUUCACUUUGCUAAAAUAAGGAGAUAUAAC